rnacentral:snoRNA from 1 species
AACGGAAACUUUAAAAGAAACCUAAACUAAAACCGAGUGAAGGCCUCUUACAUUAAAAGUCCCCGAAAAAUGCCGCAACUAUCUCAGAAAAUCAGCUGCAAAUAACUAUUUAGUUGUGACAGAAAACUAUCGCAAAGAUACAACA